GAUGAACGCUGGCGGCGUGCCUAAUACAUGCAAGUCGAGCGAACGGACGAGAAGCUUGCUUCUCUGAUGUUAGCGGCGGACGGGUGAGUAACACGUGGAUAACCUACCUAUAAGACUGGGAUAACUUCGGGAAACCGGAGCUAAUACCGGAUAAUAUUUUGAACCGCAUGGUUCAAAAGUGAAAGACGGUCUUGCUGUCACUUAUAGAUGGAUCCGCGCUGCAUUAGCUAGUUGGUAAGGUAACGGCUUACCAAGGCAACGAUGCAUAGCCGACCUGAGAGGGUGAUAGGCCACACUGGAACUGAGACACGGACCAGACUCCUACGGGAGGCAGCAGUAGGGAAUCUUCCGCAAAGGGCGGAAGCCUGACGGAGCAACGCCGCGUGAGUGAUGAAGGUCUUCGGAUCGUAAAACUCUGUUAUUAGGGAAGAACAUAUGUGUAAGUAACUGUGCACAUCUUGACGGUACCUAAUCAGAAAGCCACGGCUAACUACGUG
rnacentral:rRNA from 1 species